AGGUAUUCUAUCCUCACCUGUUUAACCUGAUUUUUCAUUAAGAGCAUAUUAACGCAUCUUUCUCAGAAGUGAUUAAAUUUGAAGGAGGGGAGACAAAUUCCUGGUGUUUCUCGACCCAUUUCCAUAGCGAUAUCUGUGAGUCUGUCCACCUUUCUGAUUUUGGGCGGAUUGUCAACACUCAAAACGUACCAGACCUUGUUGCUUCCCUCAGACAUCUGGUCGGAGCACCUGCCCCUGGUUACAUCAAGUAUACCUCAUUCAAGCACCUGGCAGAGACUACCAGCUUACAGCUAUAUCGACUGGAAGAUACAUUCAUUUAAAACUGGCAACAUGAGGCAUUGACUUCUCUACAGUCACAGUAUCCCUAAAACUGU